GGACUGUGAUGAGGAUUGAGAAUGUCAUGCACCACUCUGAUUUAAAUCAGUGAGGAGAAAUUGACUCAAACCCACAUAUCUGAGUCC
rfam:Nelumbo nucifera unplaced genomic scaffold scaffold00362, whole genome shotgun sequence